rnacentral:rRNA from 2 species
AGUCGAACGCACUCUCGUUUAGAUUGAAGGAGCUUGCUCCUGAUUGAUAAACAUUUGAGUGAGUGGCGGACGGGUGAGUAACACGUGGGUAACCUGCCCUAAAGUGGGGGAUAACAUUUGGAAACAGAUGCUAAUACCGCAUAAAACCUAACACCGCAUGGUGUAGGGUUGAAAGAUGGUUUCGGCUAUCACUUUAGGAUGGACCCGCGGUGCAUUAGUUAGUUGGUGAGGUAAAGGCUCACCAAGACCGUGAUGCAUAGCCGACCUGAGAGGGUAAUCGGCCACACUGGGACUGAGACACGGCCCAGACUCCUACGGGAGGCAGCAGUAGGGAAUCUUCCACAAUGGACGAAAGUCUGAUGGAGCAACGCCGCGUGAGUGAAGAAGGUUUUCGGAUCGUAAAACUCUGUUGUUGGAGAAGAAUGUAUCUGAUAGUAACUGAUCAGGUAGUGACGGUAUCCAACCAGAAAGCCACGGCUAACUACGUGCCAGCAGCCGCGGUAAUACGUAGGUGGCAAGCGUUGUCCGGAUUUAUUGGGCGUAAAGCGAGCGCAGGCGGUUUCUUAAGUCUGAUGUGAAAGCCUUCGGCUCAACCGAAGAAGUGCAUCGGAAACUGGGAAACUUGAGUGCAGAAGAGGACAGUGGAACUCCAUGUGUAGCGGUGAAAUGCGUAGAUAUAUGGAAGAACACCAGUGGCGAAGGCGGCUGUCUGGUCUGUAACUGACGCUGAGGCUCGAAAGCAUGGGUAGCAAACAGGAUUAGAUACCCUGGUAGUCCAUGCCGUAAACGAUGAGUGCUAGGUGUUGGAGGGUUUCCGCCCUUCAGUGCCGCAGCUAACGCAUUAAGCACUCCGCCUGGGGAGUACGACCGCAAGGUUGAAACUCAAAGGAAUUGACGGGGGCCCGCACAA